UUUCAGUUAAAACAUCUGGAGACGUGCUUCUCUGCAUAUUGUAUUGAGAUAAAGUCGACCGAUCAUAUUGAAUGUGACAUCCUGAAACCAAUAGCACAUGGAAAUUUGGACUAUUCUGCCAGUGGCAAUUAUAACAGUACGGUUAUGUUCACGUGUGAUUUUGGAUACAAUCUAAAAGGACCAUCAAGUAAAACGUGCGAUGAAUUUGGAAUAUGGCAACCUCGGGAAUCAGUUGACUGUAUCGUAGUAGAAUGUCCAUCACCUGACAAUCUUGCGAACGGCUUAAUUUAUACUACAAACGGAAAUAGAUUCGGGAGUGUGAUAACGUACACAUGUAAUAGAG